UACGUAGGGAGCGAGCGUUGUCCGGAUUCAUUGGCGUAAAGAGCUCGUAGGCGGCUUGGCAAGUCGGGUGUGAAACUCCAGCUCAACCUGGAGACGCCACCGAUACUGCCAUGCGUAGAGUCCGGUAGGGACCACGGAAUUCCUGGUGUAGCGGUGAAAUGCGCAGAGUAUCAGGAGGAACACCGGUGGCGAAGGCGGUGGUCUGGGCCGGAACUGACGCUGAGGAGCGAAAGCGUGGGGAGCGAACAGG
rnacentral:rRNA from 1 species